AUAGGUGUUCAUAUUGACUGCUGUAUACUGCGUAGAAGAAACUGAGAACUUUAUGAUCAGAGAUUUGGCUGAUUGUGCUAUAAAAAGUGUGAUUGCCAUAAAAAUUCAAAGUGUCUUAAUUACCUGGAAAUUUUUAUUCUCAUGAGGAUAGAGUUUAAAUUGUCUUAUUGUUUUCCGGAUCCUUCAAGUGUGUCAUCCAAACAUGGAAACUUUCAUGUCUGAAGAGAAUUGGUCAGGUUUUGAUCUUGAAUUCUGCAUAGUGGCAGUUCAUGAUUAUUAAAUUAAAAAAACCAUAAACUUCACAAGAGUUAAGGAAAAAAUUCUCAAAGAAGUGGAAUAUAAUUGGUACAUGCAAUAUCGCAGAUGUUGGAAUUGUGUGAGGAAUCGUGAGUACCCAAUUGCUGGGGCAUGAAGAGAUUCCAAGGUCCCAUUGAUACAAGUUUUAGUGGGAAGCUGAUUUGAGGGGUGCCAAACUUAUGAAUCAGCCGUUGCUGAAAAUGACGGGGUUACGAUCUCGCCAGUCGCCUCUGAUGAUGAACAGGUCUUCAUUUUACAACAUGAAGCCAUGUGUGUUUUUUUCUGUGUCUGCUUUUCUUAAAUUCUGAUGUUCUAAAAGAAGUAAAAAAAAAAAAUAUCUUCAGUCAUGGUGCUGUGAAUUGGCUUAAACUUUGUCUCCCUUUUCAAGGUGUUUUGAGACAUCCCCCUUUGACUUAAAGGUAGGUACUGUACAUUACAGAACUACUGGAUUUAAUUGUCU
rnacentral:sRNA from 1 species